UGGAUUUUGACACCAUACGCAGUUCACCCAAGCUGCGUGCACACAUGCUGAACUUCAAACACGGAAUUACGUCAUUCGUUGAUAACCUAGAUGACGUGGAAUGCCUUACUGUUCUCAUCCACAAGAUGACAGAAAACCAUUUCCGGCGGCAGAUAACCGUAAAUGAAUUCCAGCAUAUCGUUCUCAAUGAGUGACCCCGCUGACCCCGUGACGGGCUUUACGUGGCGCCAAAAGGAGGCUGUGAGAGAGAGCUGAGGGAAACUGAGUUCCGAUUGAAGACACACGGAGUCGAGUUCUUCAUCAGGCUGAUCAAAACUU